rnacentral:tRNA from 1 species
GUCUUCAUGGUGUAGUUGGUUAUCACGUGGGUCUCAUAUAUUAAUAUAUGACUCGGAAGCUUGCACUUCUGAGAUAUCCCAAGGCCGGGAGUUCGAACCUCCCUGAGGACA